UACGAGGGGUGCAAGCGUUGCUCGGAAUUAUUGGGCGUAAAGGGUAGGUAGGUGGUCUCAUUUGUCUGGGGUGAAAGCCUUGAGCUUAACUCAAGAAGUGCCCCGGAAACGGUGAGACUGGAGUCCCGGAGAGGGUCGUGGAAUUCCCGGUGUAGUGGUGAAAUACGUAGAUAUCUGGAGGAACACCGGUGGCGAAGGCGGCUACCUGGCCCAACAUUGACGCUGAGACCCGAAAGCAUGGGGAUCAAACAGG
rnacentral:rRNA from 1 species